GCUGCUGCCGCCCUCUGGAAGCCGUGCCCUUGGGCGGCAGCGUGCGGCAAGGGCCCGGGCUGAGCCCUGCCGGGCCAGCAGGGCGUGUGGCCGCAGCGCUGGCAGCGCCGCUGGCAGGGAGCUGUGCCGCUGCCGCCCUGACAGGCUCUGUGUUCACAGGGGUGGCUGGGCGGCACCUGAGGGGGCAGCAGGAAGAGCUCCAGCUGAUCUGCAGUGCCCUUGAACACCUGACGGAGGACAUGAGCAGUGCCCUGUCGCAGCUGGCACAUCAAACACUGCAUGUCCUCCGGGCAAGACAGCGUGGGCACUAUUCCAUCUUCCAGAGGCUGCAAGAUCAGCUGCGCAGGGCUUGGAAGGCUCGGCCUCGUCUGUCGGGGCUCGGCUGGCUGCACUGCCGGAGCUCUGAGGAGAGCUGAUCCAGGAGGCCCUCAUUGCUGGGGCAACCUGAGCCGGGGGGAAUUUUCCAUUUCUUUAAUAUUUUUAUUUUCUUUUUUCCCGUUUUUUAUCUGUAUUGUAAAUAUAGGAUGUGUUCUAAUA